rnacentral:ribozyme from 14 species
GUAUAAUAGUUAUUAUAUUAGAUUGCUCCGUCGUGAACCAUGUUAUCUUUUUUCUUUCCACUGCCUUUCUUCUCUUCUUCUUGAACUGCCUCAAGCCCCUGAGGAACGCUUGCUGAGGAGGGUGUGAUUGUUUCACUGAAAGCAUGCAUCUUUGAGGGAGAAGAACAACGAUCACUCAUUGUUGAAGAUGAUGAUUCCUUUG